UAAUACGAAGGGGGCUAGCGUUGUUCGGAAUCACUGGGCGUAAAGCGUAUGUAGGCGGAUCAAAAAGUUAGAUGUGAAAUCCCUGGGCUCAACCCAGGAACUGCAUUUAAAACUAGUGAUCUAGAAUUUGGUAGGGGUUAGUAGAAUUUCCAGUGUAGAGGUGAAAUUCGUAGAUAUUGGAAAGAAUACCAGUGGCGAAGGCGACUAACUGGGCCAUUUUUGACGCUGAGAUACGAAAGCGUGGGUAGCGAACAGGAUUAGAUACCCUGGUAGUCCACGCAGUAAACGAUGAGUGCUAGUCGCUGGGACAAUAGUUUCAGUGUCGAAGCUAACGCAUUAAGCACUCCGCCUGGGAAGUACGGUCGCAAGAUUA
rnacentral:rRNA from 1 species